GUUAUUUUACAUGUUAAUCAUAGAUACUGUGAUUGCUUUGCCAAUGGUGAUUUUUGCAACAACUGCAACUGCAAUAACUGUUAUAACAAUCAACUUCAUGAAAGUGAGCGAUUUCAAGCCAUUAAGGCCUGUCUUGAUAGAAACCCUGAAGCUUUCUUACCAAAGAUUGGGAAAGGGAAACCAGGAGAAAUUAAACCUCACCAUAACAAAGGAUGUAAUUGCAAGCGUUCAGGAUGCCUCAAGAAUUAUUGUCAGUGCUUUGAGGCUAAAAUUAUGUGUUCCUCUAUUUGCAAAUGCAUUGGUUGCAAAAAUUAUGAAGAAAGUGCAGAAGAAAAAAACCAGCUGAAUGUGCUAAACUACAUGGAGAUUGGAAAUAGUGAAG
ensembl:lncRNA